rnacentral:rRNA from 1 species
GACAGAGGGUGCAAACGUUGCUCGGAAUUACUGGGCGUAAAGCGCGUGUAGGUGGACUGGUGUGUCAGAUGUGAAAUCCCUGGGCUCAACCCAGGAACUGCACCUGAAACUACCAGCCUUGAGUGGUGGAGAGGGAAGUGGAAUUCCUGGUGUAGAGGUGAAAUUCGUAGAUAUCGGGAGGAACACCGGUGGCGAAGGCGGCGACCUGGGUAGAUACUGACGCUGAGGCGCGAAAGCGUGGGGAGCAAACAGG